rnacentral:rRNA from 1 species
UAAUACAGAGACUGCAAGCGUUAUUCGGAUUCACUGGGCGUAAAGGGUGCGCAGGCGGCCGUGUGUGUUAGGCGUGAAAGCCUGAGGCUUAACCUCAGAAUUGCACCUAAAACUACACGGCUAGAGUACUGGAGAGGGUAGCGGAAUUCACGGUGUAGCAGUGAAAUGCGUAGAUAUCGUGAGGAACACCAAUGGCGAAGGCAGCUACCUGGACAGUUACUGACGCUCAGGCACGAAAGCGUGGGGAGCAAAAGGG